rnacentral:misc_RNA from 1 species
CCGGUACCCCAACUCACCCAGUU